CCAUAUCCCGUAAGGUGGGCAAAGUGGGUCGAAGUCAAUUACGGUGAACAAAGAUGAAGAAAAAAUAAUAAAAUAAUAUAUUAGAUAAAGAUAGUUAUAUUUAAAUAUAUUUAAUUAUGGUACUAAUUAGUUUUUUAUUCAUUUGGCAUAUUUAAAAUAUGAUAAAAAUUGAUUAGUUAAGUUUUAAUAUUUUUUUAUUUUAUAAUGUUAUUGUUAUAUUACUAUAAUUUAGGUAUAAAAAAUAAUUUAGUUGCUUUAAAUUAAAAUUUAAUUAUAUAAAUAUAUAAUUAUAUUAUUUUAAUUUAUUAAAUUAUUUAUUAUUUAUAUAUAAAUUAUAGUUUUACAUCAUACAUUUCUUACCAAACAAAUUGCAUAACUAAUAAAACUUCACUUUCAUAAUUACAAAACAAACAGCGGAGAAGAAGUAGUUUUUAUCGAACUCCACUUCAACCUAAAGCCUAGUUUCAAUGAAACAAAGAUGCCCUAAGCUGAAAACUUUUUCAUAUUUAAAAUUUUAAACCCAAUCCAAACUUAAAGUUAUAAUUCAGAUACCCAAAGUCCUGCCCAUACGUGGCCUAUCGGGUCGGACCUUGAGAUUCAUUUAUUUAAUUAUAGAUUUUGGAAAAGGAGCCUACAAAAUGCAAUGCCCGUAGGGAUGUCAAUGGGUGUGGGCAUCCGAAAUUUUAUCCGAAUCCGAACCCGAAUGAAACGGAUAUAUCCGAUGGAUAUGGAUAUGGAUUCGGAUAUGAAUAUCAAAAUAGAAAUCCGACGGAUAUGGAUUCGGAUAUGGAUUUUGAUUGUACCCGACCCGAACCCAAACCCGAACCCGACCCGAACCCGAAUUUAUUUUGUAUAUAUAUAUUUGAUGUUAUAUUUGAAUUUGUAUUUCAAAAAUUUAGAUUUAAUAUAAUAUAUUUUGAAAUAUUGAAAAAAAAAUAAUUGUUUCGGGUUUAAAUUUUCGGGUUCGGGUUUCGAAUUUCGAAUUUUUGGUCGAGUUCGGGUUUGGAUAUAAAUUUUUAAAAUCCGUCGGGUUCGGAUUCGGGUUCGGGUAACGGGUUUGGAGUCGGGUUCGGGUUUUUAGAAAUCCGCCCCAAAUCCGACCAGUU
rnacentral:lncRNA from 1 species